UGGGGAAUAUUGCACAAUGGGGGAAACCCUGAUGCAGCGACGCCGCGUGAACGAAGAAGGUAUUCGUAUCGUAAAGUUCUGUCCUAUGGGAAGAUAAUGACAGUACCAUAGAAGAAAGCUCCGGCUAAAUACGUGCCAGCAGCCGCGGUAAUACGUAUGGAGCGAGCGUUGUCCGGAAUUAUUGGGCGUAAAGGGUACGCAGGCGGUUUAAUAAGUCGAAUGUUAAAGAUCGGGGCUCAACCCCGCAAAGCAUUGGAAACUGAUAAACUUGAGUAGUGGAGAGGAAAGUGGAAUUCCUAGUGUAGUGGUGAAAUACGUAGAUAUUAGGAGGAAUACCAGUAGCGAAGGCGACUUCCUGGACACAAACUGACGCUGAGGUACGAAAGCGUGGGGAGCAAACAGG
rnacentral:rRNA from 1 species